AAUAAUGCUUCUUUGGCCUUAUUGUCUUGGUAUGGAAACCAGUAACAGAUGCUACUGUAACCUCUGCAUUGGAGAUGACCCCUCUGAUCUUGACCCAGAGGCAUUCAAUAGGGCUCCCAUAAUUGCCAUAGUUUACUUCAAGGUUCUCCUUAACAUGAAGUGAAACUCCUCUGCCUCUUCCUCCCUACCUAUAUUUAUGAAACAGCCUAUUGCCAUUCAUCACGAUCCUCCAGUCACGUGAGUUGUCCUACCAUGUUUCAGUUAUUCCUAUGAUAUCAUAGCUUUCUGACUGGGUGUGGAGCUCCAGUUCCUUCUGUGUGUUCCCUACACUGGGUACACUGGCAUAUAUACCCUAGAGGUGACCAGUCUUCUGUUUUUCAUGUUGAGAGGCAGCAAGGAACAUUUGUUGCUCUGUUUGGUCUGGCUUAUUCCCCAGUUGGUGGCAACGCCCAGGAUUUUGAAAUUCUUUAUGAUGAACAAAGCCUGUAUAAGGCAUGGAGAAAAUGAGAUGAGAAUCAAAUUCAAGGCUUUCUGCAGAUAUGAAUACCAAAGCACUCUCAGCCAUGAAAAUUUUGUUGGAUCUUACCUCUUAUGGUGAUUAACAUCCUGUGAUGGAAGUUUAGUCAUGCUUUAUUUCGAGGUUUCAUUUGCAAGCGCUGUACAAAUUAAUAAUAAAUAGACUUCUCAAUUA